rnacentral:rRNA from 1 species
CCUACGGGUGGCUGCAGUGGGGAAUAUUGCACAAUGGGGGAAACCCUGAUGCAGCGACGCCGCGUGAGCGAUGAAGUAUUUCGGUAUGUAAAGCUCUAUCAGCAGGGAAGAAAAUGUCGGUACCUGACUAAGAAGCCCCGGUGAACUACGUGCCAGCAGCCGCGGUAAUGCGUAGGGGGCAAGCGUUAUCCGGAUUUACUGGGUGUAAAGGGAGCGUAGACGGCGGUGCAAGCCAGAUGUGAAAGCCUGGGGCUCAACCCCGGGACUGCAUUUGGAACUGUGCUGCUAGAGUGUCGGAGAGGCAGGCGGAAUCCCUAGUGUAGCGUUGAAAUGCGUAGAUAUUAGGAGGAACACCAGUGGCGAAGGCGGCCUGCUGGACGAUGACUGACGUUGAGGCUCGAAAGCGUGGGGAGCAAACAGGAUUAGAUACCCGAGUAGUC